AAUAGAUACCCCGGUAGUCCACGCCGUAAACGGUGGGCACUAGGUGUGGGCGACAUUCCACGUCGUCCGUGCCGCAGCUAACGCAUUAAGUGCCCCGCCUGGGGAGUACGGCCGCAAGGCUAAAACUCAAAGGAAUUGACGGGGGCCCGCACAAGCGGCGGAGCAUGUGGCUUAAUUCGACGCAACGCGAAGAACCUUACCAAGGCUUGACAUACACCGGAAACGUCCAGAGAUGGGCGCCCCCUUGUGGUCGGUGUACAGGUGGUGCAUGGCUGUCGUCAACUCGUGUCGUGAGAUGUUGGGUUAAGUCCCGCAACGAGCGCAACCCUUGUCCCGUGUUGCCAGCAGGCCCUUGUGGUGCUGGGGACUCACGGGAGACCGCCGGGGUCAACUCGGAGGAAGGUGGGGACGACGUCAAGUCAUCAUGCCCCUUAUGUCUUGGGCUGCACACGUGCUACAAUGGCCGGUACAAUGAGCUGCGAUACCGCGAGGUGGAGCGAAUCUCAAGAAGCCGGUCUCAGUUCGGAUUGGGGU
rnacentral:rRNA from 1 species